GCCUGGCUAGCUCAGUUGGUAGAGCAUGGUACACUUGAUCUCAUGAUUGUGGGUUUGAGCCCCACGCUGGGUG
rnacentral:tRNA from 1 species